AUGUUGCAAAGGCUAUGGAGAAACAAAGAAUGUAAAGGAGAAAGAGAAAAAUUGAACUUAAAAACAUAUGCAUAUUUAAAACAUUGUGUUUUUAAAAAUAUAUUUUUCAAAGGACCAUAAGUCUAAACCAAAGAAGAUGAAAAAUGGAAGUUUUAUGAGUAAGAAAGAUACAGCUUAAUGCCUCCAACUGAGGUGAUUUUAUCCUACAAGUUAGUGCCGGCCAUCGGUGUUGGAUCCAAGGCACUGAUAAAAGAAGGAUGCUCCGAUACUUCCUUCAGCUGCUCUUCCAGACCUACUUUCUCACCCUUGACUACAAUUUUGUGGAAGAAUCUACUGAACAGUGAUUUGCAGCUAACAGAUGGUCAACUAAUUUUCAUUGGAUUCAAAUGAAUAGAACUGCCCUCAGUGGAUUGGAAAAUUCCCAGCCACGUUGGUAAGAGCAAUCUUCUCUACUCAGUCUUCCAAUUCAAAUGUUAAUCUCUUCCAGAAGCACUCUCACAGACACAUCCAAAAACAGUUGUUACAAACUUCUGGGCAUCCCUUAGCCCAGUCAAGCUAAUGUAUUAAAGGAAGCAUUGCGUAGCCUUUUUUUUCUCUGCUAGAAUGUAAGCUCUGUGAGAGUUGGAAUUUUCAUCUCUGUUU
rnacentral:lncRNA from 10 species